UAUUGGACAAAUGGGCGCAAGGCCUGAUCCAAGCCAUACCGCGUGGGUGAAGAAGGCCCUUCGGGUUGUAAAGCCCCUUUUGUUGGGAAAGAAAAGGCAGCUCGGUUAAUACCCCCGGUUGUUCUGAACGGUACCCCAAAGAAUAAGGCACCGCGUAUGGCCGCC
rnacentral:rRNA from 1 species